rnacentral:tRNA from 1 species
UAAUGUGAAACGAUGUAUUGUAAUCAGUUUCGACCUGGUUUAAGGGGCUUGCCUCCUCAUUUU